rnacentral:rRNA from 1 species
GACGCACGCUGGCGGCGUGCCUAAUACAUGCAAGUCGAACGCAGUGGGGACGGGUGAGUAACACGUGGGUAACCUCCCAUCAGAGGGGAUAACACUUGGAAACAGGUGCUAAACCGAUACUGAUGGAUGGACCCGCGGUGCAUUAGCUAGUUGGUGAGGUAACGGCUCACCAAGGCCACGAUGCCUAGCCGACCUGGGAGGGGGAUCGGCCACAAUGGGAAUGAGACACGGCCCCGAGUUCGACGGGAGGCAGGAGGAGGGAAUAUUCGGGAAGGGACGGAAGUCUGACCGAGAAAAGCCGCGGUAGGGAAGAAGGUUUUUGGAUCGGAAAACUCUGUUGGUAGAGAAACGGUAUCUAACCAGAAAGCCACGGCGAACUACGUGCCAGCAGCCGCGGUAAUAC